UCAAUGGAAACGUCUCGCUGUUAAGCUCAACGUCAGAUUCUACUGAACUUUUGUACUUGUAAUGCUUACGGGGAAAAUAAUUUGUCUUGAUCUAUAUAUUGUGUUUAGAUUUUUCUAAUUCUUGGGAAAGCUAGAUUCUACAUUCAUUCUACAUUCAUUUUUCUCCUUUAACAAGUGAAAAAUUAAGAACAGACUGAUUCCUGUAUGUGUAUGGUGGGGUAAUCAAGUACAAAAGAUUGCUCUAAUUGUUGUGGUGUUUAACGUUGCUACCCUAAGUAUCGAAUACUCUUUAGAAUAAAACUCUGGUCAGCUCCUUAAGCUCUUUGCUGCAGUAUGUGCUUCUCUGUCAGAGUGAGGUAGUAGAUUGUAUAGUUGUAGGGUAGUUAUUUUACCCUGUUCAGGAGAUAACUAUACAAUCUAUUGCCUUCCCUGAGGAGUAAAACAAACCGCGGUCCUUUGCAGUCAUUCCUGUCCCCAUUGAGUAAAAACAGAUCUGCCAGAGAAAUUCAGGGCUCUAAAGCAUCAGAUUAAUCAGUGACAGAAUUUGCAGGAUUCAAAUCGGUGUGAAUGGUGCAACCCCCAAAUGAUAUAUUUGACUAAUGCGACUUUUCUUUCAAGGUGAGCAGCAGAGUGCUGACGGGAUAAGGAGAAGGCAUGUGUUCCUAGAUUUAGUGUGGAAUACCCCCGAGAGAAAAAAAAUAAUUAUAAAAGAAUUUGGGUUUGAAUGUAAAAAUACAGGUAGCUCAAACUUACACAUUGUGACCUAACAAUUUCUAUAAUGCAUUAAAAUUCUAUCACUCUAACCACUUAGUAAAAGUUGGAGGAACAACUUACAAUUACGUUUUACUAAUAAAUCUGCUUAUUUGUCUUUAGUUCUUCUCUGAAGUGAGACUUAAACAACCUAAUACAAAAUUAAAGUUGAAUGGCCAAAACUGACCCCUCACCUUUUUGGGGGAAGUAUAAAGCUAUGAAGUUUGAGCACCCAAGAUCCAGAAGUGUAAUUCUUCCUCUUCACUGGUUACUGUUUUUACAUAAAAAGAUAUUUUUUAAGCUUAGAAUCAUAUAAUUGCCUAGGUUAGCUUAUUAUGUUCUAUUUACUCCUGGUGUCCUAGGAGUACCCCAUCUAACUGCUUCUACACCAGUGUGACCAUCUUGCUGUAGUAAUAAAGAAAAGCAUGAAAAUACUUUAUGGGAGUGAAAGUUUAGUGUAGUAGGCGAGAGUGAAAGUGGAGCCGUCAGUAUUUGAACCCGGAGCAUUAGAACUGGUUCCCCACUAACCAGGCAGGGGUAACAGCCUGUGCUUGCAGUGUUCCCAGGCCUAAAGAAGACCAAAAGCAGCUGAUAAACUAAAGUGACUUCGCAGAGCAGCUGCUGGGCGAGAAGAGCGGCACAGAGGAAGCGCUGGGCUCCUAGGAAGAGGUAGUAGGUUGCAUAGUUUUAGGGCAGGGAUUUUGCUCGCAAGGAGGUAACUAUACAACCUGCUGCCUUUCUUAGGGCUUUAUUAUAACACCGGGACCAUUUGGGCUCCAUCCUCUGCAGCUUUGGUACCUGAAGAGAAAUGACAAGCUGUUUGUAAACAUAACUGAGGCUUAAUGAAAUGGGUGUAUUGGGAGACUCGGUACCAAACUGGAGUGUAGCUGGAAUUGAGCGUGGUGAAACGCUGCAUUUGAGGCCUGUGUGCCACAUUGGUGAGAGGUUGUGUUUGGAGGGCAGCUCCUUCGAGAGUAAGAUUGAGUUCCCUGUGACAAGGAUGGAGAUGGUACACACUUCUUAAUGUUCAGUUGGGGUACUAAUACUCAAACAGGUAGCUAAAAUACACCUUCCUUUAGCUCUGUGCAUUUUAAGUGGAAAAAAUAAAAAAGUUUUCCUUCCCCAGAAGGAUCGGCUUCAGCUCACCUGGAAGCUGGUGGUUUCUCAACAGGUACAGGCACUCCCAAUACACCAGGCUCUCCAUCAUGGAUUAUUCUCAGUCUUGCAGGAGGGAAGUUUUCAGUCAGGUAAAACGAAUGAUUGCACUUCUGUCUCUUAUGGAAUUGUAUGUUAAAGAGUAGUCCAUAAUUGUUUUAUGUAAUUACACUGCGCUACAGCAAUAGUUGUGGUAGGGCUCCACGCGGACACCUGACACUAUGCAAUAUGGAGACUUUAUUUUAACUGCUGAGCAUCUUCUGUUUUAGCAUUAAUGUGUUUCCUUACAGCAGGCGCUAUUAAAAAUUUUGACGUCAAGACAGAAUAAUAGAUAUGAUGAACAUGUUAAUUCUUCCAGUGAACGGACUCUUUCUCCAAAAUAAGGAAGUGAAUUUUGCAGGAGAACAGUGCCCACGUUACUGAAAUAAAGUCAAGGCCACAUUCUAAAAAUUAUAGUGUUAACUAGAAUUAGUGUUAACCAAUUAUUCUAGUGUUAACUCAGACUUACUCUAACAUUAA